rnacentral:rRNA from 1 species
AAUGGGGGCAACCCUGAUGCAGCCAUGCCGCGUGUGUGAAGAAGGCCUUCGGGUUGUAAAGCACUUUCAGUGGUGAGGAAAAGUUAGUAGUUAAUACCUGCUAACCGUGACGUUAACCACAGAAGAAGCACCGGCUAACUCCGUGCCAGCAGCCGCGGUAAUACGGAGGGUGCGAGCGUUAAUCGGAAUUACUGGGCGUAAAGCGCACGCAGGCGGUUUGUUAAGCUAGAUGUGAAAGCCCCGCGCUUAACGUGGGAUGGUCAUUUAGAACUGGCAGACUAGAGUCUUGGAGAGGGGAGUGGAAUUUCUGGUGUAGCGGUGAAAUGCGUAGAGAUCAGAAGGAACAUCAAUGGCGAAGGCAGCUCUCUGGCCAAAGACUGACGCUCAUGUGCGAAAGUGUGGGUAGCGAACAGGAUU